rnacentral:rRNA from 1 species
UACGUAGGUGGCGAGCGUUGUCCGGAUUUACUGGGCGUAAAGAGCGCGCAGGCGGCUGGGUAAGUCCGAUGUGAAAGCUUCCGGCUUAACUGGAAAACGGCAUCGGAAACUGCUCGGCUUGAAGGUGGGAGAGGGUAGCGGAAUUCCCGGUGUAGUGGUGAAAUGCGUAGAUAUCGGGAGGAACACCAGUGGCGAAGGCGGCUACCUGGCCCAUUCUUGACGCUGAGGCGCGAAAGCUAGGGGAGCGAACGGG